ACGCUCGACACCUACGGGAGGCGGCAGUGGGGAAUAUUGCACAAUGGGGGAAACCCUGAUGCAGCAACGCCGCGUGAAGGAAGACGGUUUUCGGAUUGUAAACUUCUGUUCUUAGUGAAGAUAGUGACGGUAGCUAAGGAGCAAGCCACGGCUAACUACGUGCCAGCAGCCGCGGUAAUCUGAGCGGGCUGGCAAGGC
rnacentral:rRNA from 1 species